AUGAACGCUGGCGGCGUGUUUAAGGCAUGCAAGUCGAGGGACCUAGCUUGCUAGGAACCGGCAGACGGGAGCGUAACACAUUGGUAACCUACCUCGAGCUCGUGAAUAACUCGGUGAAAACCGAACUAAUACACGAUAUGGAUGGGGAGUCUUCGGACAUUCCCAUUGAAAGCUUCGGCGGCACGAGAGGGGCCUAUGUUCUAUCAGCUAGUUGGUGAGGUAAUGGCUCACCAAGGCUACGACGGAUACCGGGCGUGAGAGCGUGGCCCGGCUCACUGGGACUGAGACACUGCCCAGACACCUACGGGUGGCUGCAGUCGAGAAUAUUCGGCAAUGGGCGAAAGCCUGACCGAGCGACGCCGCGUGCAGGAUGAAGGCCUUCGGGUCGUAAACUGCUUUUAUUAGGGACGAACAAAUGACGGUACCUAAUGAAUAAGAGGUUGCUAACUCUGU
rnacentral:rRNA from 1 species